AGCUAAGUAUCUUCUUAGAAACAGGAAUUCACUCGUGCCUGAGAAAUCAGCUCCAUUUUCGUGUCCACAGUUGCAUCUCCUGUGAUCUUAAAAGGACAGAAGGAUGGGGAAAUUCCUGAGAGUGUUCUUGGUGACUCUGUGGCUUCAUGUGGCAAGGGUGAACAGCCAACAAGCAGAAGAGAAAACUCAGACUCUGAGCAUCCAACCUGGUGAAAAUGCCACCAUGAACUGCAGUUACAAAUCUAGCAUAACUGUCCUGCAGUGGUACAGACAGGAUUCUGGCAGAGGACCCACCAUGCUAAUUUUAAUAAGGUCAAAUGAGAGAGAGAAAAUCAGUGGACGGCUAAGAAUCACCCUGGAUACCUCUGCUAGAAGCAGUUCCCUGUCCAUCUUGACUUCCCAGCCUGAAGACACUGCUGUUUACUUCUGUGCCACAGAUGCACAGUGUUCAGUGUGCACCUGCAGCCUGACUCUAACCUCACCAGAGCUUCUGCCUAAAGGCCUCAGCACUGAGAGAGCUGUGUUAUGUCUUCUUAUGUCUUCCUAUGAGUGA